GGCGCGGCCGUUGGCGAGCGGCGCGCGCGGGCCGCGGGGGAGGGGCGUUCGGAUCGGAACCCGGCCCGAGCGGUCUCCUCGAGGCUCCCUCCGCACAAUGAGCCUGUGUGGACGGAGAGGAGAAGGGGCAGCGCGGCGGGGAAGCCAGCUCAGUGCGCCUGCGCCGACGGCACCGCCAGCCGGGCACAUCCGCACCGCGGUGAUGGGUCGCACCACGUGAUCCAAAAGCGGGAACUUUUUGAUCCUUCCGCCGAGAGCACAUCCACACUGGGGGCAGUAGCAUCAACAAAGCAAUGCAUUGUGGGGAGCUACCCCUCAGUUCAGCUCUCCACCUUCAAGUUUUGCAAGGAAGUACUUGUGAUUUUUGUGGCCUAGGACUCAAUGUAAGCAAAUGAUUAAACUGCUUGUUUACUUGUUGCUGCCAUCUCCUGUCACAAUUUCCAGGAAACAAAUAAAAAGUGCUUAUCAUUCAAAAAA